rnacentral:tRNA from 1 species
GCAGUGCGUGGCCGAAUGGUUACGCUAUCCGCUUUGUAAGCGGAUGAUUCUGGGUUCGAUUCCCAUCUGUUGCA